rnacentral:lncRNA from 1 species
AAGCAAAGAAUGCCAAGUGUUGACAAAACCCACCAGACAUUAGGCAAUACCUAAUACUUAAUACCUCCUGAGAGAGCAUGGUUCUGCUGACACUUUGAUUUUGGACUGCUAGUCUCCAGAACUGGGAGACAAUAAAUUCUUGUUGUUAUGCAGUUUGUGGCAAUUUGCUAUGGCAGCUGUAGAAAACUUUGUAGGAAUGUAAAAAUGCUCUUUCAAAAAGUGCUUCAAUGGAACUAUAAGAGUUCUUAUACCAGGUGAGGCUCUGUACCUAAAUUGAUGGGUUUCUCCACACACUCGAAAGAGGGAAACCUUGGGCACCUCAGGAACAGGGUGAAGGAGUGGGCAUAGUUGUCCUGGUGAUAACUAGACAACCGUAAGCCCUUUCUUUACUGCCCAGGCAAUAGGGAAAAUCUGCCUCCUAUUCACUUGGAUACAGUGUUCCUUUCUUUUUGUUCCACAUGAAAGGAGAGAUAUUCUAAGAUUCUCUUUGGUGCACACAUUUUAGACAAGAUUGGAUGUGCCCUAAGGAAACUUUGACCCUUCAGGAAAAGAUCAGGAGUCCCUUUUUUGGGAAAUUUUUUCCUUCCUUGGGUUUACUUACAAUAGAAAAUUUGGGAAAACAAACCACUUGCCAUGCAUGUGUGUCUUGUUUGCUUUGGGAAUAUUCUUAUCCUAAAUAAGAGAGCUCUGAGCUUUCUCUCUCUCUGCUCUAAUGUGGCUGAGCUCUAUCCUUGGAAAGGGCAUUGGAUAUAGUGCUUCUGAACCUAUGAGUCUGUGGCAAUUUGAAGUUUCCUAAUAUUCCUUAGCAUUCUCUCAUGUAACUUCACAGGAUAGUACUUGAUGGUGUUGAGCUCCCAGCAGAGCAAAGGCCAAGCCCAUACCAGCUAGGCUCUCACAAUCUCCCCAUUGUGCCUGUGCUAUGACUUCACCAACCUGAAAACCCAACAGGUGACAGUAUGGGCAGGAUUUCCCCAUGUCCUUUCCCACCCCGAGGAUAUGUUUUUUUCAGACUCCAAUUUAGGCUCAGAUCCUGGCCCUGGAAUCUUCUUUGUGACGGGUAUCCUCAUUUUCAUCUUUGGGCCCUGUAUCUUCCUUUUUCUCAUUUUCCUGAUGAUUCAGCAAUGCAAAAAGAAAAUAAAGUGCCAAGAUUGGUUUUCACAUCCUUCAUGGAAUGAAUGUGUGGAAGAGGAGAAACUCCUGAGUGAAGAUGCACUUGUAUGUGAGGAUACUGAGAUUAGAGGCACCGGGGUGUCAUAUGAAGAACAAAUAUGCCUGUAUUGAAACUCCUGUUACAUUUUGGUCCAGACUAGAGGUCCAGAAAGUAGCACUGUCUAUAUCCAGAUAAGAUAGUGCCAACUUGUGUUCCAUUUCUAUAUAAAUUGUCCUUUCAGACCAGUUCUGUGUUAUCAAGAAAUCUUUGUGAAUAUUUAGAGACUUUAACACAAACUGCUUUUAUAGAAUUCAUACCCCAAACUGCUUUAAUCCAAACACAUUUUCUUCCCCUGAGUGAAAUCCUAGGUGAUUGAUCCACGCUCAGACUGAAGCAGAUGCUGAAUCCAGCUCCGGAUCUGAGAUUUCUUUCCUCAGGAUGACUUCACAGUGAAAACAUGUGAAUAUUCCAGAAAUGUUCUAAUUACAUCAUCUUUUCUUACAUAAUUUCAGCCCCUCCCCCCAUGGACUUCAGAAUGUGAUUUCAUGGGAGUGGGGGGAUAGAUGUGUGUAUUUCAGAAAUAUCUUAAAUAUUUGUAAAAAUAAACAAAUCUGAAAACUUCUCAGAGGCAUAAUUGGAAUAGUAAAGCACAAAAUUCACUUGGAAGUGGAAUGUUUUUGUGUUAACUUUAUGACUUUGGCUGUGAAGAUAUCUAAACCUCAUCUUGCUUCUAAACCUGAUAUGCCUUUUCAUGGUUGAGUUAUUGGGUUACUAGGUAUAGCACACACAAGUUUAAUUAAAAUAAAUAUUAUUUCCUGUGUCCUCAGUCCAGUAAUCUUUGAAAAUGUAAAUUGGUUCAAGUUACCCCAUAGGUGAGAUAUCUUAUAGGAUAUGAUUUGAGAAGACUAUCCACAUUCACCAUGACUAUAACAUGCUGAGGGAAUAAUAAUGGCCCAACUCCUAAUCAACCAUCACUAAACCUGACUCUAAUCCAGCUUCCAGCAUUCCCAAUAUUCACCAAGAGAUAUGUAAUUUCUGAUCUUUUUUGAUAGCCUGGGGAAGUGAGAACAGGUGCAUGACAUCUUGGAAAAUAGUUGUUAUAAGUAGUAUACUGUUUCUAUAAAAUUACUCUCUACAACACUAUGUCUGAAUUACUUGUUUUGAAGAAAUUAAGUAACCCCUUAGAUUCAAGCUAGGAAUAUUGGAAGGUCAAAUGAUAAGUCCUGAAAAGGAAAAAGUACCCACUUUCACUCCCAAAUUCCAUCUGAAUGUGUGCUUAUCCAUCAAAGGGAAAAAGAAUGAAAUCCCUUAUUUCUGGCCUGCUGUGUUAAAGUCAACAGGAUCACAUGUGAUAUAUACAGUCUCAUAUAUACAAUAUGAGACUCAUCUUCUGAGGUUCCUGAGAAAAAUCAUUAGAGCUCACACAUCUGCUGGGGACUGAUAGACCAUCUACAUAUAAUGUGCUCAAGUUCUCAAGUCCUUUGGAAAAUAAGAAAUGAAAUAAUUUGAAUCAUUAGCUCUGCAUACUGUUCCCAGUAUUUCUAAUGGUUCUUGAGUGAAUUUAGGCUAUCAUCCUUCUCACUACUACAUCCUUAAAGAGUCCUUUUGUUGAAUUCUCCAUCACUGUUUUCUUCCUUUUUUUCCUAUGCCUCUUAUCUUCUUGCUGUCUCAUUUCAUCAAAUGUAGGAGAUUUUGCUGCUUCUUCCUCCUCCAAAACAUUAUUAUCAAAAGCUUAUGUAAUCAGCAUUUGCUGAAAUUUAGUGUUGAGGGAAGCAGUGAGGAGGGAAGGUAGCCUGGUGAAAGAUGCAAAUAAUUGCCCAAUUUGACAUCAUCUUUUUUUUUUAAGAGAGAAUCUUAAGCAUGCUCCAUGCCCAGUGCAGAGCCUGUCACAGGGCUCAAUCCUCCAACCCUGAGAUCAUGAUCUGAGCCCAAAUCCAGUUAGAUGCUUAACAGACUCAUCUACCCAGGUGCCCUUAACUUGAUCUAUAAAUUAACAAUAUUUUAUGUAGUUUGGCUCAAAAAUACAAAUAUUUAUAUUACCCUCUCAAAAUAUUUCUUCUUCAAUGGGAUGGUUUGUUUUAUGUACCCCCGAUCCUAUUACUGCCAAAAUGAUAAAAGAAACAGGGGCUGCCAAUUCCCAAAAUCCACUCUGGAGAAAUAAUAGAGAUAAAAGGGAAAUGAACAUCCAAAGAAUUAAACACACUAGAAUGAGACCUUUUCCUGAGCAGACUGAAACCUAGAUUGAAUUGGUGACCUGAGAACAGUGGACUGGGCAGAGGGUGGUCAAUGCCUGCAACCCUGGUAGAGAGCUGUCAGGGGAAGAAACGAGAGUGUAAACAGGAGACAAAUUCUGAUCUUGCAUUCCCCACAAUUUGUUUUAUUACUUAUUCUAAUUUCAUAGACACAGAAAUCUGUGUCAGUGAUCCAAGCUACUCACUGUGCCCAUGACUCCUAUUAGGCAGGUACAAAAGUGCUACUGAGGUAAAAAGUUAAAGAAAACAAUGAAGAAAUAAAUAAUAGGAUAAAUAUAGAUGAAGAACAAAUUGCUGAUUUGAAAAAUCAAUUUCAGGGAUGCCUAGGUGGCUCAGUUGCCCACUCUCUCUCUCUCAAAUAAAUAAAUAAAAUCUUUAAAAGAAAAGAAAUAUCAAUUUCAGUAAUUUUCCAAGAAGGAAUGAGAAAUAUACAAAGACAUAGAAAAUAUAAAAUGCUAAGGGAGAUGGAGAUAGAAGAAAAGCCCUGGCAUAUACUUAAGAAGGGUCUUGGAAGUAAGAAACACAAAAUUAGAGGGGAGGAAGGCACUGAAUAAUAAUAAUAAUAAUUCUAUCAAUAGAAACUUCACGGAAUAAAAAGAAUAAGUAAGGUCUCAUUUUGGAAGCACUUAUAGAUUGGCACUGAAGUAAGAUAAGGAAAAAUGUUCACAUGCAGACAAACUAUAGAGAAGUUUAAAAAAAAAAAAAACCACCAAAGUAAAAUUUCCAGAAGAAAGAGACCAUCUUCUGCCAAGGAACAAGAAUCCGAUUGACUCUAAACUUCUCAGUAGCAACAUUACUACGAGACAAAGUAAUAUUUUUUUAGUUUUAUUAAGUUAUCUCUACACCCCAGGUGGGACAUGAACUCACAACCCAGAGAUCAAGAGCCGCACACUCCUCAGACUGAGCCAGCCAGGUGCCCCAAAGUAUUAUCUUAAAAGAAGCAAGAACAUUUAAUUUGGAAUUGUAUGUGGAGCAAAAAUAUCAUCCCUAAGUGAGAAUGAAAUAUGCUAUAUAAGCCACAAUUUUAUGAAAUAUAUAAAGCUGCUAUUAACAUAAGAAGAAACAAUGAAAUUGAAUCUAACAAUAAAGGCCUAGAUAGUUUUAUUGGUAAGUUUCAUCAAGCUCUCAAGCAAUAGUUACUAUUUUAUACCAAAAAAAAAAAAAAAAAAAAAAAAAGCAGCAGAGAAUAAAGGGGGGAAAGUCCCAGCUUAUUUAAAAAGCCUAGUAUAGUAUUAAUUUUACUUUUUUAUGGAGUGAUAAAUAUACAGAGAGUAAAUGUCAUAAAUGUCACAACCCAAGAAUUGUUACAUACCUAUAUGUGCAUAUAUAUGUAUGCUGAAGAAUAUUUUCUGUGGCACAAGUUUCUCUCAUGCCUGCCUCCCCUGCUUAGCACUUUAUUGACCUCUUACCAUUAUAGAUUAGUUUUGGCUGUUUUUGACCUGUUUGAACAGUGAGAAUUCUUUUUUGCCUGCCCUCUUUCACAAAACAGCAUACCUAUGAGAUUCAGAGGUAUGCAUAUAGCAGUAUUUCUUUGAAAUUGCUAUCCAAUAUUCCUAGGGUGCUUGGAUGGUUCCAUUGGUUAAGCGUCCAACUGUUGAUCUUAGCUCAGGUCUUGAUAUCAGGGUUGUGAGUUCAAGCCCCACAUUGGGUUCCACACUUAAAAAAAUUGCUAAUAUUUUAAUGCAAGACACCAUCACAAUUU